rnacentral:rRNA from 1 species
UACGGGGGGGGCAAGCGUUGUUCGGAAUUACUGGGCGUAAAGGGCUCGUAGGCGCCAACUAAGUCAGACGUGAAAUCCCUCGGCUUAACCGGGGAACUGCGUCUGAUACUGGUUGGCUUGAAUCCGGGAGAGGGAUGUGGAAUUCCAGGUGUAGCGGUGAAAUGCGUAGAUAUCUGGAGGAACACCGGUGGCGAAGGCGGCAUCCUGGACCGGUAUUGACGCUGAGGAGCGAAAGCGUGGGGGAGCAAACAGG